rnacentral:rRNA from 1 species
UACGUAGGGUGCAAGCGUUGUCCGGAAUUAUUGGGCGUAAAGAGCUCGUAGGCCGUCUGUCGCGUCUGCUGUGAAAACUCAAGGCUUAACCCUGAGCUUGCAGUGGGUACGGGCAGACUAGAGUGCGGUAGGGGAGACUGGAAUUCCUGGUGUAGCGGUGAAAUGCGCAGAUAUCAGGAGGAACACCGGUGGCGAAGGCGGGUCUCUGGGCCGUAACUGACGCUGAGGCGCGAAAGCAUGGGGAGCGAACAGG